AAGGCAGCGAUUGUGGAAACUCUCCGGUGUCUGUUGUUCCUAACCCUGUACAGAUUUGGUCACUUAAAGCCUCUCAUUGAAUCUUUAUCAUUUGCAUUUGAGAUUUUCUUUUCGGUUUGCAUUGCUUUCUGGGGAGUAAGAAGCAUAACGCACCUCGCCUCUGGCUCUUGGAAAAAGCCUUAGUGCGCACGCAUCCAUCAGUCCUGUCAGUUGUCCGGGCUACAUCACCACGACACAGAGCAAGAUCGGUAUCUUCCAUGGUACCCACAGGAGCUACUUCAUGAAAAAUGAAAGCAUCUCUUUACCUGUGCUUUCCACGUUUGUUUUUCUCUUGAAAUUAAUGUGAAUUAUUUGUUCUUGCGCUCACUAAAAACCUAAUGAUUCAUAUCCAUUGGAUCCAUUGGGACUGUAUUCACUUCUCUCUCUCCGUGGCAAUGUAUAUGGAAAGGAAAUGGUGGCUUAAAGAUUUUAAAGAGUGAAAAUUACAUUUGUCUUCUUGUUUUGACAACUUUUCCUUUAUCAUUUGUUAAAAGUAUUCUUACAUACAUCUCUGUUGUCUUUCAAGUGCAUUACUGUCUGUGAGAGCCUGCAUCUACCUCUGCAAAUGAAUCAUCUGUGGUGGUGAAUUACAUAAAAACAUACCAACUACAUGAAAAAGAUUAGAAUUGGAAAGAAUCGUUCUGUUCAACAGGUUAAUCUAGGACAUGUAUUUCUAAAAGUUAUUGCAUGUUGCAAUAACUUGAGGAGGACAUCACAAUUCCUGCUGUUUCAAAUGGUCAUAAUACUGAUAAUAAAAUAAUCUCAACAGAA